rnacentral:rRNA from 1 species
UACGCAGGCGGACUUGUAGGUAUCUUGUGAAAUCCCACGGCUUAACCGUGGAACUGCAGGGUAAACCACAAGUCUUGAGACAUGUAGGGGUCAGUGGAACGAUGUGUGGAGCGGUGAAAUGCGUAGAUAUACAUCGGAACGCCAAUGGCGAAGGCAGCUGACUGGGCAUGUUCUGACGCUCAGGUACGAAAGCGUGGGUAGCGAACG